CUCUCUCGGACUGAUUAGUGGCUGUCCAUUGAGGUUUAAUUGGGCCUUGUGCGGCUAAUGUGUGAUUUGUUCAUGAAUUGCCAUGUGUGAAUGGUUGGGCCAUGUAGUGGCUGAUUUGGGUACAAAUUGUGCUGAUUGUGUUAAAUUUUAUGGUGCCUCGUUUGAGCGACUCGGUGGUUGAAUGGUACUUUGUCGUGCUCAAUUGUUUAAUGCCAUGCCGCCUGAUUUCGUGUUCGAGCAAUGCGGUAUGUGAUUGGCCAAUCAUUGGUGUGAAUGUUUAUUGCCCAAGUGCGUAAAUUAUGUUUUGGGCCACAUGGUACUAGUCGGGCAAGUGCGCAUGUUAUGCGAAUAAGUAUGGGCAAUUGAUUGGCUAUUUGAGCACGUUGAUUUGGCAUGUUUGUUGAAAUGCCGUGCUGAAAUUGAAUGCUCAUGUUGCAUUGUACGACAUUGCAUGGCCACGCAUUGUGUAUGCCGAGAAUGGGGCAUGAGAUGAGAUUGUGCGAGAAUGCGUGCCUGACAUGAGCAUGUGAUCACCCAAUUGCCCGAUGCGUUUUACGCUAGGUUCAGAUAAAAAUUGGCAGUGUGCCGUGUGAUCACUUAUGGCCUUCGGGUCGUGGCCUUCGGGUCGUGCUGUCCUCAUGCACUUUGAAGCAGGACGAUGCCCAGUUCGUCCGGAAGACGGCGUUGGUCCGUAAGGAGAUCGGUGUUGCGCCUCAUGCACUUUGAAGCAGGCUAGAGACACUGGGCCGGAUGAGCUUUGGCGCGGGCCGCGGAGUGUUGUGAGCCUUCGGGCCGUGGCCUUCGGGUCGGAAAAUUGUGGGCCUUCGGGUCGUGGCCUUCGGGUCGGUUUAUAAACUGCAAAAUGAGCCGUGUGCUAGAGUGCAUGAUUUGAGAAAAUUCAUAAGCAUGGCAAAUGUGUGCCAGAGAAUGUGGCUAAUGUGCGUGCCGGUGAUUCGUGUGUGAGACAGGCACUUUGAAGCAUGAGCAUGCGUAUGGCGUACGUGUGACCAAUGUGUCGCGUAUGUGCCGUGAUUUAUAUAAAAUGCCUAACCUGCAGGGUCAGUUGUAUGAUUGAUCUGGGCCCGAGGGCCUAGGUUUGUUGUUGUGUUGAUUUGCUUGUCGGGAGGUGCAUAUUAGCCUAGUUUCGGUUUAGGAGGCCUACUCGCUGAGAUUCGUCUCAUAGUUGUUUAAACCCCGUUUUUCAGACUCCUGACAGAGGUUGCCCGGUGUACCCGAUCCAUAUGAGAAUCCGGAGCCCAUAGAGCAGGAUCCCGAACUAGUUGGAGAGGUCGAGCAGAUGCAUUCGGAGGAUGAGAUAAUCGAGGCUGAGUCCGAGUCAUCAGGAUCUGAUCCCGAUUAAGUUUCCUAAGAUCAGCCUUAGCCUCCCUUAGACUGCCCCCUUGGCCACUUAGGGAUUUUGUUAGUAGUGGCCGUAAACCCGCUUUUGUUUGGUGUUUUUGUAUUGGUGAUUAGUGGACAUUGUAUAUGUUUUGAAGUCCAAUGCAAGUUUUGAUUAUUAGGCUUUGAAUUGUUCGAUGCUCCUGCUA